UAUGUUCCCUCCCCUUUCAUCAGGAACACAUAGCCUUUCUUAGAAACCUAAUCCCCUUGCUCACUCAUACUUCAUCUCCUUCACUCACGUUCACGCGUCUCCCUGCUCAGGAGUGACGUCUCUGCCCUGCCACUGUGAACAUUGCUCACGGGCACAAGUUCACAGGGUCACAACGACGAGUUCAAGGGCUCAUAGCCUUUGCUUUUCUCUGCCUCUCUUUCGGUUCUUGUUCUCCUCCAUUAGUUGUUGCUCAUUCUUCUCUUUCGUCAAACUCGUGGCAUUUUCCUUAGAACAAGAGUUGAGAAAAAGAGGUUUGAUGGUUCACCUAGGUCCUCAAAAAUUACUGCAUUUUAUGGCUUGAAGACACCUCCUUAUGAACUUGUA